rnacentral:sRNA from 1 species
GUGCCAUGGAAAGCGCACAUAUGUGCGAUAUCGACCGCUCCUGGGGAUUUGAGUUCUGGUUUUAUAGGUUUGCUGGUAUCGCCAAUUGUUUGGUUUUAUUUCAUUAUAUUUUUCUAAGUUUUUAUUUUAUUCUUUGUCUAUCUAUGUGCGUGCGUGUGUGUGUAUAUCGAUAUCUACUUGUAUAAUUUAUGUUUUGAAUUCGCUUUGAAACUGGACCUGACCUGUCCUUGGUUUGGAUACAAGUUUUGUUCGCGGUGCACGCGAACCAUGUUUCCACGAUCGAUACAGACAAGCUGUUCUCAAUUGGAGGUUUUAUUUUGUCCUCUCCUCUUGUUCUCUACUUUUUAAAUACGGUGGGCCUACCUUGAUAUUUCUCCCACAUAAGAGGAUUUGAUGCCAAAUAUCCGGAGUAUUGGUAUUCCAGCCAAUUGGAGUGGUGUAAGUCACAUGAUUCGGCGAUAUGAAGAUCCGAGUAUCCCACAUAGAGUUAACCAAUAAUAUCAAGCUUAUAUAUCAUCAAAAAGAAAAAAAAAGAAAAAAAAAAGGUUUAGCUGCGAACUCGUCGAAAAAACAAAAUAAACACUCGGAAUGUGGCCGUAAGGCGAAGGUGAGAAGGAGACGCGCUGUAGAUGUGGGAGGAUGUGUCAUCUAACUUAACUAUCUCUAACUAGUUAACUAACUAACUAUCAGAUCUAGCCGGCAAAAUCAUCAAAUCCAUCCAUCACCAAUUAAACCCAAUCUGAGAUGCGCAGUAUCCAUUUUUGGCUUCAGUAUUGGAUGGUACCGUUACAGCAUGAUAUUUAGAAUUUUGAAGCAGAACCAUGGGCCGUGGGGUGGUGGAUUCCCAAAAAUUACCUUUAAUUUACCAGGCGAGAUAAAGGCCUUUCAGAUAACAAUGAACUGAUCAGAGAUGGGUUUUCUUCAACAUCUAUUAUUAUUCAAGAUAUCAACCUCAAGUACUAUAGAAAGAAAUGUACUCCGAAGGAAAGAAAUAAAAGGGACCACAAAACUUAGCCUUGGUAGACAGGGCCUGGUCCAAGUACUGCUUGAUCAAUUCCCUGCCUAUCAACCCAGCAGGUACAUGUACAGUACAAUAUAUUAACAGCUGUCAAUAAAAGUACUCGACUUCAAUUUCAGCCACUCAACUUUUCAACAAAAGGUGAGAGAAAAAAUAAACAGAACAAUACCCUGCUACGCGUAGUGUUUUGUCCAGUGUGGAAAGCCUGAAAAUGCGCUCCCCGCAGGUACCAAAUUUAACCAUUAUUGACACUCCUCUGGGCUACGCUUGGCACAUGUAAUCAUCAACCCAUCCACAAAAUCGAAUCAAAACACGAUUUGGAUAAAAACAACUGAAGGCGUUGUUUGUAGUGCUUUUUGCUUUUUUGUUUUUGUUUUUGUUUUUUUUUUUUAAAUCGCUCCUAGCAAACAUCCUUAAUGAAUUGCUUGUCCCAUCGAGAUCAUGUACGUCACAGUGAGUGUAAACGCGCAGAAUAGAGGGGGAAACGGGAGAGGGAUUAACUUCAUCAGACUAGCAAAACGGAGAAUAGGAAAGCUAUUGCAAGCAGCAGGGAUAAUCCCGGACAAGCGCCAUGAGCAAUUGUAUUGCUCGUCAAUACGUAGUCCAUUUUUUCCUCCUUGUUGGGCACAACUAGAUAAGUGAUAGAAGGGAUUCGGGCCACAAAACUACCCCUAGAUUACUAAGAAGGUUCAUAAUACUACUUCCCGAUAACGCAGUGGUAAAAGCAGGAACUUUCUCUUGGCUACUAGUUCCCGCGUCUCGUUAGGCUGCGCAGAAUAUGUGGACCCAUGGUAAAAUGGUAAAAAUUCCUCAGGAGAAAUCCUCGGCAAUGUCCGCGCCAGGGUUUCGUGUUAUCAAAUAAGACCUCACGGCUUUUGUAUCCAAUAGUUGUAAUUUCUGUUAUCAAAGGUGUCAUUGUUAGCCUAGAGCACACAAUAAUGGGCACACUGUGCAAAGGAGAUAUUGACGGGGAAGAACAAUGGCAGGUCGCGAAAACAUUGGUUACCAUUGCUUCUAUAUCACGAAGCCCGGCUUCUAGGAGUUCUCCCUCCAAUUUUCGAAGCUUAAGGGCUGUUUGCCAUACGGACUGCCGAAUCACCCUUCCGUCAACAUAUUCAAGCCAUCGCUGCACAUACUCGUCGUUCGAACGCAGUUGGGCCAGCUGACCCUGCAUCCGGUCUUGCAAGAUGACAACUGCCCGGAGCUGAAAGACUCCCCACAUCCGGUCCGCUUUGAGCUGGUCAAGCAGCGAUUCCGAAGAAGUAACGUUAGUUCCUUUCCACGAAACCUUGAGCUCUCGCUCUCCUUGGUUUGAUUGAACUACACGGAAUUCCAGGCCAUCUUCUUCGUUAACGCAACACCACCAGACAAAUGAGCUUUCCCAAUCAGUCACAUCAGAGCCAGGCGCGAUAAAGAGGCGAAAGCCUGGUGUCGUAUUGCAGACUGCUAUUUUUGCAGGCCGCAAUGGGUCAUCAGCGGGAAUGUCAAGGUCAAGGAAUAGCUGACGUGCAUUCGUCGAGCUACUAUCGAGAAAUCCGUACGAGAAUACCAUCUCGGAAGCACCCUUUUCGUCACCAUAUCUAUAGUUGCGCGGAUUGAAAGUUAGUCCAAUUGUCGACCUUCGUGUCCACAGUCACAUUAUCUAGCUUCAAGCAUACGUGAUAGUUAUUUCGUCGCCCACCUCUAAUCCUUGUCCGCGGCGCAGUUGCAAAACAGCGUUUCCAUUUUCAUCAGUCUCAUACAAGGCGCUGGGCCGACCACCGGAGGCGUGAUUUACCAUAUCAAUACACGGGACCAUGGAAUGACCCUUGCUUGGAAAUUCAAGAGCUCGCGAUCUAUACAUGGCAUCGACUAACUUCCAAUCCUCGAAGUGCCACGUAGAAGUUCGCGCUCCUCAAUGGUGUAUAAGGUUGGAAGGGAAUACGAGACCGGGAGAAAUUUUAUGUAUUCUGUCCAAGCAUUGGAUACCUUAAUGUGCUCCUUUGACGAUAAAUCCGGAUCGGAGUAGGAAAUGUGGACCAGGAGGAAAAGUAAUAUGGCACCUCGAGCUGUCUACACAUAUCAGAAAUUGAAAUAUACAUCUACGGCCGAGGAAGCGGCAUUGCCGUGCCAGUGAAAGAAUACACACCAUUGCAUAAUCCCUCAUAGAAUCCAGCACCUCAUUCAAAUGCCUAUCUGUUUUGGCGCAUGUUUCCACUAACUCUCGUGAAAGUAAAAGCUCACGUGGAAUAGUCAUGAGAACUUGCGGCUCAAUUUCGGCUUCCGGAUCGAGCUCCCGGGCUGAUUUCUUUGCAGUCGCAACUAUCCCGCAUCCCUUGUCAACCCCAUCCUUGGCCUGUAGCUGUGUCACCUCGACAUCGUGGAAUUCGACACAAUUAAGUCUAGCCCAUGCCGCG